rnacentral:lncRNA from 1 species
UGGUGACGGUUGCUGAAAGUCGACGAGGUGGAAAGGGAAAAGGAAAGGGACAUGGAAAGGGACCCGGACAUGGAAAGAGACCGGGAAGACUACCAUUUAUGUGUGAAGGUAGGUUUUCAAUAUAGUUUACACAGUUUCCAAUUAUGAAUGAAGUACAUUUAAAAAGUGGGAAUAAAUCUUCAUAGGUAAUUAGUGUUGUGAUUCAUUAUCACUAAAAGUGUGUUAAAAACUGCAUUUUUUUCGAAUUCAGUCUUGCAAUUUCCUUGGCUAAUAGUAUAGGUCGAAAUAAUAAUACUUUUUCAUUCACCUUUCCGCUUUCAUUAUUGAGCUUUUUAUCAUAAAAAUAUGGUAAGUUAUAAUAAUCAGGAAUUAAAGUUUUUGUUAUAAACCAAAAAAAUAAAUAAAUAUAUAUACAGAUAUUAUAUUUUAUUCUUAAUUUAAAGGCCUUAAAGCAGAGCUCGCGUUAAUCAUACAAAGAGAAAAGGAAUAAACAAUACAGUAGUCAUCCUUUAAACGUUCUUGUUGAUUAUUUAUGAUUUAAAAUUUUGCAAAACAUAUUAAAAGCACAAAAGUAUGGAUAAUAUAAAAAGAAGAUGUGGUAUGAUUGCCAAUGAGACAACUCUCCACAAGAGACCAAAAUGACACAAAAAUUAACAACUAUAGGUCACCGUACGGCCUUCAACAAUGAGCAAAGCCCAUAUCGCAUAGUCAGCUAUAAAGGCCCCGAAAUGACAAUGUAAAACAGUUCAAACGAGAAAACUAACGGCCUAAUUUAUGUACAAUAAAUGAACGAAAAACAAAUUUGUAACACAUAAACAAACGACAACUACUGAAUUACAGGCUCCUGACUUGGGACAGGCACAUACAUAGAGAAUGUGGCGGGGACAACAUGUUUAAUAAAUGCACAAUAAAUAUGUAUAAGGAGGAAUAACUCUAAUUUAUAUUAUUUGGUAUCUGUAUAUAUAAUACAUUAGCUAACAAUGACCAUCAAUAUUCAGGUAGUAUUGUGUGGAGGGAAAAUAAUAUUGUAUUCAAUGAAUUAAAUUAUACAUUGAUUACAUUACAUGUAUAUUUCAUUAAAACCCAUAAUGUUAAAAGGCUGAAAACAAUCGCUAGGCAUUCCACUAUCAUAUUUUUUUCUGUAUAAGAUAUGACUUUAGAUAUCGGAAGAUGUGGUAUGAGUGCCAAUGAGAUAACUCUCCAUCCAAGUAACAAUUUAAAAAAAGUAAACCAUUAUAGGUCAAGGAACAUGACAUACAAAAUUAUGAACACUUGGAGAAUGCUCUGUCAAUCGGAAUACAGUAAAAAUGAUAAAAAACAAAAUAAGUAUGAUAUAUAUAUAUAUAUAUAUAUAGUAAAACAUUAACAUGAAUACACUGCAGAAAAUCAGCAAGAUAAUUUAUUAAAACUUGGUGUAUGUUAGCAUAAUUAGGAUAGUUACGUUGAUAAAAAAAUCAACGACACUACUGUUUUAAUCAGUUUUCUUUCCUUAUUUCAAAAUUCACAAAGUGAAACAUUGAAAUCUGAAAUCUAAAUCGUCGUAGUUAUGGAUCUCCUUUUCGAGAUAUUUGAUAAAAAAAAAUGGCGGAAAAAGCCGACUUGGCCUCUUACCUUAUAUUUAGCACUGGCAUUAUAUUGGUCUCAAAUCGUAAGAAAAGAAAUCAAGAAUCUACUUAAAUUUUGGUAAUGACCUUUUAUGAGCUAUUGAAGUCGUCUAUGAAAAGAAAAGUGGUCGAUAUGGGACACGGUAAAAAAAAAGCAUUUCAUCUUCAAUUCAUAACUAAAUGACAAGGUGUUUAGUGUCAACGGUUGUCUGAAUGCGUACUAGGAUAUGUUACCACACCUCCAAAAAGUCUAACNNNNNNNNNNNNNNNNNNNNNNNNNNNNNNNNNNNNNNNNNNNNNNNNNNNNNNNNNNNNNNNNNNNNNNNNNNNNNNNNNNNNNNNNNNNNNNNNNNNNNNNNNNNNNNNNNNNNNNNNNNNNNNNNNNNNNNNNNNNNNNNNNNNNNNNNNNNNNNNNNNNNNNNNNNNNNNNNNNNNNNNNNNNNNNNNNNNNNNNNNNNNNNNNNNNNNNNNNNNNNNNNNNNNNNNNNNNNNNNNNNNNNNNNNNNNNNNNNNNNNNNNNNNNNNNNNNNNNNNNNNNNNNNNNNNNNNNNNNNNNNNNNNNNNNNNNNNNNNNNNNNNNNNNNNNNNNNNNNNNNNNNNNNNNNNNNNNNNNNNNNNNNNNNNNNNNNNNNNNNNNNNNNNNNNNNNNNNNNNNNNNNNNNNNNNNNNNNNNNNNNNNNNNNNNNNNNNNNNNNNNNNNNNNNNNNNNNNNNNNNNNNNNNNNNNNNNNNNNNNNNNNNNNNNNNNNNNNNNNNNNNNNNNNNNNNNNNNNNNNNNNNNNNNNNNNNNNNNNNNNNNNNNNNNNNNNNNNNNNNNNNNNNNNNNNNNNNNNNNNNNNNNNNNNNNNNNNNNNNNNNNNNNNNNNNNNNNNNNNNNNNNNNNNNNNNNNNNNNNNNNNNNNNNNNNNNNNNNNNNNNNNNNNNNNNNNNNNNNNNNNNNNNNNNNNNNNNNNNNNNNNNNNNNNNNNNNNNNNNNNNNNNNNNNNNNNNNNNNNNNNNNNNNNNNNNNNNNNNNNNNNNNNNNNNNNNNNNNNNNNNNNNNNNNNNNNNNNNNNNNNNNNNNNNNNNNNNNNNNNNNNNNNNNNNNNNNNNNNNNNNNNNNNNNNNNNNNNNNNNNNNNNNNNNNNNNNNNNNNNNNNNNNNNNNNNNNNNNNNNNNNNNNNNNNNNNNNNNNNNNNNNNNNNNNNNNNNNNNNNNNNNNNNNNNNNNNNNNNNNNNNNNNNNNNNNNNNNNNNNNNNNNNNNNNNNNNNNNNNNACGUGGAUCAUUAUACCAGAGGUAGAGGUUUAUUUCGACUUCGUUGUAAACAAAGGUAACACCUUUUAUUUUUAACCCCUUGCAGGCAAAAUCGUACAGGUCUUUGGAAUUAGUGUUAUAUGCCAUUUUAAAGGCAAUUACCAUAUCUAUCUCUGGUAAAAUGGCCUACGUGGAGAACCUCUUAGUUUGGCCAGCCGGCAAUACUUUAUUUCGACUUUGUUGUAAACAGAGGUACCAUCUCCCCCUUUUGAUUCAUUAUUGUCAAACUCGUACGGGUCUAGGGCAUAAGUGCUAUAAGAAAUUUGUAUGGCAAUGCCCUCCUCUAUCUCUGGUAAAAUGGCCUACGUGGAGAAUCUUUUAGUUUGGCCAGCCGGCAAUUAUUAAAGUGUAUUUCGACUUCGUUGCAAACAGAGGUACCACCUUACCCUUUUAAUUCAUUGUUGUCAAACUCGUACGGGUCUUGGGCCUAAGUGAUCUGUGCCUUUUUUAAGGCAAUGCCUACUUCUACCUCUGGCAUCAUACCCCACGUGGAGAAUCUCUUGGCCAGCCGGCAAUUGUUUAUUUCGACUUUUUUAUAUACCAAGGUACUUCCCUAACCCUUUGCUGACUUACUCGCUGGCUUAUCCCUUAUUGUAAGUAAGUAAGUUCAAUAAAUAUAAGACUAUAUGCCAGGUCUUUCUGACAACCAAUUACAAACAAAUUGGGGUUUAUCUAAUGAGGCUUUUCCCAGGAUGCAAUUGCUCGUAGACUGUAUACAGUUGACCAAAUAAUCCACAAAUUCCGCAAAAGGAUCUUUUAAUUAUAGGCCAUGUCCAUUUAGACAUUAAGCAACAAAAGCCCAGCAUGACCGAUGCAUUUGUCUUUAACAUCUCCGAUAUUGAUUCCGCGUGGCCUUCCAAUUGACAUGAGUGUCCAUUGGUGUUCAUUGUUAAACCUUUGGAGCUAUAUCAGUUUUGUGUGGAAAUUAAGAGCACGAUGACCUUCCCUUGGUGAUAACAACAUGACCAACAACCAUAUCGUGUGUUACCAAAAGCCGUCAGCGAUAGUCACACCGACAAUUUGCUACCUUCGUGGACAAAAGCCUGGCUUUUCGCUGGAUCCUAAUUAACAUCUAGUGUUGUCACUACCAUUUGCUGUAGAGAUUUAGUUGCACAACAUAACAGAAACAUUCUUUGUAAAUACUCUAUGUUGAUAUUUUUGACAUUUGGAUGGUUCAUAUACCAAUUGUAGCCGAAAAAUGAUAAUGAAACAUUUCUGUUUAAUAUCGAUCUAUUGUUGGAAUUGUAAAUUUUCAUAUUCAAUUUUUGUUUGUUUAAAGAUGACCAUUUUAAAUAAAGAUUUUAAUUUUUUAAAAAGCAAGUGUUAGACUUGUGCUUUUAUUGCCACUCAGUUCAUAUAACCUGUCAUUUUAGUCGAGCCUGUAACUUUUGUUGCAGAAAGCUCGACAUAUGAAUAGUGAUCCGGCGGCGGCGGCGGCGGCGGCGUAAGUUAACUUCUGAAAAGCUUAAUAUUUUAGAAGGUGGAAGAAUUGGAUGCUUCAUACUCUGUAUAUAGAUGCCUCAUGUUACGAAGUUUCUGUCAGUCACAUGUCCAAUGUCCUUGACCUCAUUUUCAUGGUUCAGUGAUCACUUGAAAAAAAAAGUUCAGAAUUUUUGUAAUGUUGAAUUCUCUCUUAUUAUAAGUAAUAGGAUAACUAUAUUUGGUAUGUGCGUACCUUGCAAGGUACUCAUGCCCGUCAGACAGUUUUCACUUGACCUCGACUUCAUUUCGUGGAUCAGUGAACAAAGGUUAGAAUAAGUUUUGGUGGUCAAGUCCACAUCUCAGAUACUAUAAGCAACAGGGCUAGUAUAUUCGGUGUAUGGAAGGACUGUAAGGUGUACAUGUCCAACUGGCAGGUGUCAUCUGACCUUGACCUCAUUUUCACGGUUCAGUGGUUAUAGUUAAAUUUUUCUGUCUUGGUCUGUUUUUCUCAUACUUUAUGCAAUGAGUCUACAAUAUUUGUUGUAUGGAAUGAUUGUAAGGUGUACAUGUCUAGCGGGAAGAUAUCAUCUGACCUUGACCUCAUUUUCAUGGUUCAGUGGUCAAAGUUCAGUUUUUGAGUUUUGGUCUUUUUAUCUAAUAUUAUAUGCCAAAGGUCACUAUAUUUGGUGCAUGAAAAUAUCUUAUGAUCUAUAUAUAAGUCUCCCAGGUUUUAUUUGACCAUGACCUCAAUUUCACGGUUCAUUGCACAGUGUUAAGUUUUUGUGUUUUGGUCUGUUUUUCUUAAACUAUAAGUAAUAGGUCAAGUAUAUUUGUUGUAUCGAAGAAUUGUUAGCUGUUCAUGUCUGCCUGGUAUGGUUCGUCUGACCUUUACCUCAUUUUCAUAAUUCAUUUGGUCUUUGUUUAGCUAUCUUGGUUAAUGUUAAGUUUAUGUGGCAGUUGUAAUAAAUCUUUAUACUUAGGGCUAUCAACAUAAUAUUAAUGAUGAGUAAAGUAGGCGAGACAUUUCAGUGUGUGUGCACUCUUGUUUAAAUGUGCUUAUUUAUCCGAGUCCUGGACUGCAUUCCAGUGGCUUUCAUUCGUUUACUUUUGUGUAAAUUUUAUACAGAUCAGUAUUUUUUCAAAUGUUUUACCAAUAUUUUAGCUGCAUGUAACAUCUUGAACACUCAGAACAGCAAAACAAAAUUUAGAUUUCAGAAAUAAAUAGCCUUUAGUCAUCGACGAAUAGCCGAUGAUUUCAAGAGUUGUUUCCGUUAAAGGAUGAUUCCUUUUUUUUGUGCAAUACUUGCUCUUUCGGAGGCUCGAGGGUAAUUUCAGCAAAAAUUUUAUCAUUUUUGUUUUCAUUACAAAUUUUAUUUAUUACACUAUUAGUUAUAACUUUAUGAAUUGGCUCAAAAAUCAACCCAAAAAAUCGAAUGAUUUUGGCCUCAGAUUUAUUUUUCAAAUGUUUAUAUCACUGUAAAAGCUCCAAAUUGUCUCCCUUUAGUGCAAUAAUGACAUUUUGUUUUGGCAUUAGAAUUAAAAUGUCUUUUUCAACUCAUCGGUGACCUAUAGAUAUUUUUCAAAUAUGCUUUACGUAAACUAAACAGUUGUAAAAUUAAAUCGAUUUCUGUAAUUUAGUUCUUUUUUUAUUUCGAUAUAUAUAUAUCUCUCUAUUUCUCCUAUUAGUUCAACUUAAAAAAAGUACCUUAACAAAAAUGGUUGCUUCUUUCGAGGGCAGAUUGUGAGCUUAAGUGAACGAUAACCCCAUGUUUUUAUUUGAUUUUUCUAUUUAGUAUAUGAUAAAAGUUCAUCUAUAGAAAAACAAGCAAAAUCCUACAUGUAUAUUUAAAAAAUAAUGGAUUAAUACCCUCCAGUCCCCUUAACGACAAAAAAAAUAAAUAGAACAUUACGUUUAAGUAUCACCUACAGUAUUUUACAACCUCCAUUGGUGAUACAUUAUAUGUAUUUCUGCUGUUGUUUUAUAUAAGUUAUUGUCCUGAAUAAACAUCUUUAUGCGUUUUUGCGUUUUUGCGUUUCAGUUUUUAUUGUGAAAUUUCUUCAAUCAGCCAAGACAAACUUUAAAUUUCGCCUUAACGAUGUUUUCGCGAGAAAUCCAUGUAUUAUUAUCGAAUUACUACAUUUAAUCAUUGUCUAGUGCCCUAAAAUGAGAUUUUCCGAGACGCUGGGUUUGAAAUGGGAUACCCUAUUUAAUUUAAACAAUAUUUGCAAUCUUUUCAAAAAGAUGCAGAUGGGAAUUUUCGUUCCUUAUGAAAGUGUUCGCAAGGAGUUAAAUUAUAAACUCCUUAUAGGAUUAUCAAAAAGCAACUAUUAAGGACCCCCUUGGAAUAAAGAUCUUCCAAGACAACGUGUUCGAGAGUUUGAGUUUAAUACAUGACUUUUUUAAAACUUAAUGGACGGAGCAGGAUUAUCUUACUCUUCCAGUUAACCAUACAUCAUCACAGUUGCAUUGGUUCUUGUUGCUCAGAUUUUAAAUUUCAAUGAUUUCGUCCGAGACCACAAUUGUCGUCCCUUGAUUUUCGUUAUUAGUCCCUAGUGAUAACAGUGGGUUACUUGCCAAUAAUUUUUAUACCCCUUCCAAAUUUAUUUUCUCCUUGUUUAAUGCCUCACAUUGUAAGUAGGGGGGGGGGGGUGAAAUUACACUGUAAAAAAAUUUGGGUCCAGAAUUUUACAGGAAAGUAGUGAUUUGGUCCAGCUGAAAAAGGUUAAAAAUUAGCACUUCGGAAGCUGUCAAAAGAUUUCAAGACACCCUAAACACAAAAUUGUCCAUAUUUUGAGUUAGACGCGAUGAAGUUUUAUAUAAUUUUGAUAUAAUUUGUCCCAAAAUUAGUACAACACACUGUAAAAGUUUCAUUGAGAAAGCGUGUGUUACAUAUUUGUUUUUCGUUCAUUUUUUUACUUAAAUAAGGCCGUUAGUUUUCUCGUUUGAAUUGUUUUACAUUGUCUUAUCGGGGCCUUUAUAGCUGACUAUGCGGUAUGGGCUUUGCUCAUUGUUGAAGGUCGUACGGUGACCUAUAGUUGUUAAUGUUUGUGUCAUUUUGGUCUUUUGUGGAUAGUUGUCUCAUUGGCAAUCAUACCACAUCUUCUUUUUUAUAUGCUCGAAACUUUAGAAUAGUUUAGAAAUUUAUCAAAUCAAAUAAUCCUUGAGUGAUGGUUUCGUUAUUGAAAUUCUAAAUUGAUGUUUAACCGCGCUAAAUAUGCGAAUGGCCGAUUGACAGUCGCUCCAAAAUAUUUUGCAACAUUUUGAGUUAAAAAAAACUUUUUUAAGUCUGGUAAUAUUUUCGUCAUAUUUCCAACAACUUUAUUUUUCUUAAACAUUACAAAUAUUACAAAUAUAGAAAACAAACAAACUUCAUUUUUGGAACACUAUCACAAAGUUUACGUAAUACAUGUGUAGCUAUUUAUUUAGAUAAACUGUAUUAAUCCAUACAUUUCGGAAUUAUUUAGCAACUAUAUCCAAAUGACGAGGAAGUUCGAGGUUAUUCAAGUAAUAAGAUUAAGGAAACUUUGGUUAACACAACAGCAUUUUCAACAAAGUAGUUUUUAUUUUGUUUGACAAACUCGAAAAGAGGGGGAAAAGUAAUAAAAUGGUUACUUAAGCAUUUACUUAAUUUCUAUCACGAAAUAAAUGCGUUUAAUAUUUUAGAUACAGAUACAAUAUAGUGCAUUCGUAAAUGUAAAACACUUUUUAAUAGAAAAUUUAAAAGAGAUACAUCAACAGUGUUUAUUUUAGAAUUGCUCAAGUCUGUAGGGCUUAUUCCCGAUUGUCCCACUUUUUUUAAGUUAUCCGCUUCUAAUCCGUUACUUAUAAAACAGUCAAUAAAAAUUCAAGGACAAGAUUUUAAUAUAUGAGUAUUUAUCAACGAUAGAGAAAAAAUAGUCUUUUGCCCUCAGUGCUUCACGAAAAAGCAAUAAAGCAUCACAUGUGUGAAACUUUAAAAGAUAAAAUCAAAAGCCAUGCAGUAAAAGUUUUAUAGUUCCCUCUAGCGGAUAAAGUGCAUCAUACCUCAAUUCUAAACAAAUACAUGCGUAGAAGUAACCAAAUUGAUAGAAAUAAAAUUAUAUUAUUGUUAUAUUGAAAUUAAUAUUAAUUUUUCUAUUGUGACUUCAACACAUUCACGUCUGAACUAUUUAUGUCUCUUUAGUAUUUGGAAAAAAAACUUGUAGGAAUUUUAGUCCUCAAAAUUAAUGCUCUUCAACUUCGUACUUUUUAUGAACUUUUUAUGACUUUAUUGGAUUCGAGCGUCACUGAUGAGUUUUUUGUAGACGAAAUUAUCCUGGUAUUUAUAUAAUGAUUGUUUUUUUUGUAAUUCUCGAUGGCAUAUUAAGACAGGAAUGUUUAAGAGCAUUAAAUAUUAUUGUUUUCACUUUUAUGAAACUGGUGUAAAAAAACAUCUUAAUGCAUUGUUUAAAUAAGAGCUCAGACGCCAUAUUCAGCUACUAGUAUCCUUUUUGUUGUCUCCAACACUUGGAUCGUACAAACACUGAAACACUGAUUUUUUUUUGACAGUUCCGUAAUUUUCAUGUGCACAUGAUCAUCCAUACACAAAUACUAAUUAAAUAACACAUACGGUAUCAAUUUUCCCGCACCAGGUACGUAUUUCGACUAUCAAUUAUCUUCAGUGAUGCUGAAUUAAGUAUUUACCUUAUCCAGGUAAUUUGAUUUCACCGACGAGCAGACAUCGUAAUGAAUUGGUCCUAUUUCAAGUCUACACAAUGUUCGCCUAGCCAAGAUCAGAUGUGCAUUUUGUGUUUCACAUGAAGUCAAAAAUGAGUAUCACCUCAGGGAAAAACUCUUUUUAUAUUUUGGUUCAAAAAUGGUUUAAAUUAUGAAAAAUUGCUAUCGUUAGGCUAACACUGGAAGCAUUUAUAUAAUUACAUGCAGUUUUUGGAAGAAAUAUUUAAUAUUUUUAUUAAAUAAAUGGUGUUUAAAAACUGUAUAAUUUUCUUUAAUGGUUGGCUUCAAGACAUCUGGUCACCAGUGUCAGAUUUUUGGUCAAUGACAAAGACAACAAAAUAUGUUUAGAAUUAUUGAAUAUCAAACAUUUUAAUUGAAAAAAAAAUGACAAGAACAUGUUUAACUCACAGUUAUUUCAAACAACAGUAGCUUUCUUUGAUCAUUAAUCUUAUCUGAUAAAACUGUAUCUAAAAUUAUCUAUAAAUAACAAAACUUCAAAAAAAAACCCUUUCUUUUGGUGUAUAGAACAUUAAAAUAACUUGAUGCAUAUUCUUACAAUAAACAAUCAAACUUAGCAAUACAAUUUAUAUGUUUUGUCUACGGACAAGACAUUGUAUUCAUAUUUAAUGAAAUGCAUUAUUAAAACCUAAUUUUGAUAUAGCUGAAAGUUGUCUCUUGAAAAAAAAAACAUACAUUUUAUCAGGUUUAUCUAUCAAAUGAUGCUUAACUUCGAGGAAAAUGGAAACAAAUACAUUUUGAUAAUGUCUACGGACAAGACAUUUUAUUGAUAUUCAAUUAAAUGCUUUCAAAGAUGAUUGUUAAAGUUAAGAUUAAAAGUUACUAAUUAAAUUUUAAGCUGUGUUUUUUAAAUUUUGGAAAAUAUAAAAAUGUACCCAUAAUUCUUUACAUAUCUCAAUAAUUUAUUGAUUAAGCCAAAAUGAAGACACAUUCUUUUAACUGAAAUCCAUAUAUCUGACUGUUUAAAACAAUCAAACUAUUAUUAAAACUCAAUUUUGACAUAGUUGAAUGUGUUCUCUUAAAAAAAUAACAUACAUUUUACCUAUCAAAUUAGGCUGAAAUCAAGGAAAUUGGAUACAAAUAUAUUGUGGUAAUGUCUACGGACAAGACAAUUUCAGUUAAAAAAAAAUCUGUUAGAAUUAAUUGUGACUAUAUUUAUGUUGAAAAUACUGAGUUUUAAUUUGAAUAGAUAACUUUCAUCACCUAUAAAUAAGAUUUAAGUUCCAUAGCAGACAAAUAAUUGAAUUUAAUACUUGUUAUGUACAAGUGUCUUGUCCGUAGACACUUCCUCAUCUGCUGUUAAUACUGAAAUGCAAAAGAUAAAGUUAGAGAGAGAGAAAUACUUUUUCUUCAUUUGAUUUAGUUAAUCUUUUAAGGUAUGCAGCAACUGGAAUAAACAAUAUUGAAGUAAAAUAAGGUAUGCUUUUUAUGACUGAUAAUCUGACACUUUUUAAAAUCCACUCCUGUAAAGUAAUUUUACAAAAAUUGAGAACACUUAAAUUACCAUUUAUUUAUUAAAAAUAAGAUAUUUCUAAGUUUAAACAACACAUAGGACUAAUUAAGACCCAUAAAGCCAAGCAAUAUUGAUACAACGGACAAGACAUGUGUCUACGGACAAGACAUUCUGACAUAUUUUUGAAUUUUUUCCUCUAUUAAUAGAUGGUAGAAAAAAAUGUUAGUAGUGUUUUCAUAUCUACAAAAGAACAGGAACUUAGCAAUGCAACAUUAAUGUAAUUAUGCUUCCAGUUUACUAGGGAAUGCAUGUCUACGGACAAGACAUUUUUUCACUUUAUUUGUAUAUCCAACUUUGAUGGCAUAUAUCUCCAGCUAGGGUACUGCAAUUUUGAUAAAUGAGGUAGUUUUUGAUAAUGUAAUGUAUAUACUAGAAGAGAAAACAAAACACAUAAUAGCAUAAAUUUGAUUUAUUUUUCUCUUUUAUCACUACACUGAGCAAGCUAAAAACAAAAGUGAAAAAUUGCAUAACAAGCGCAUAGUAUUCAACUUUUUAUCAUAACUUUGUAACCACUGAAGAUUUUUUGUUGCAACAACCAGUAAAAGAAAGAAGAAUAAAUUGUCUAUAACAGUGAACCAAUAAUGUAGUUCAAAUUAAGUUCACUUAUUAACUAUCAAUUGAUAAAAACAGGUAAAUUUUAAAUGAAACAACAUAACGUGUAACAUUUUUUCAGCUUAAAGAUGUAUUACUUAUGUAAAGUUUAUCUUCUUGUCUUUACAAGCCUAUAACAUAGACCCAAUAUGAAAUGCACAUCUGAUCUUGGCUAGGCCGAACUUGUUGAAGAUAGAGUUUGGUUCACUUUGACUUCUUUCCAGACUCUGCAGUCCACUCAAAUGUAUUUGUCUUAAGUUCUCAUAAGGAAUGAAAAAUAUGGCCGUGUUACACUAAAAUUACUAGGUACACAACUGGUACACCAGGAAAGUUUUAAGGCAUGGCAGGAACUAGAUAUAUAAAAGUUAUAUGAAGUCUACGUUUCAGAAAAUUAAAAAAACUUACCUGGAUUUUGAUGUCCAUUUUUUUCCAGUCUGCAGAAGAUAGCAAAAUAAACAAACACCCGAGUUUCAUUUGAUACGGUCCACUCAGUUACACAGUUUAAACCUGUUAAAUAACCUAUUGUUUACAGGUGUCUAUUGUCCAUCUAUUGUCCAUUUAAAUCAAUACUACUCACAACAUUGAUUAUAUGAGGGGAGCUUCUCAAUCGUUUUCACUACUUAGUUAAUUUUUGCACCUUCUGCAGAAACGAAUAAAAAUGGAUAGCAAAAUCUAGAAAAGUUUAUAAUUUUCUGAAACAUAAAAUGCAUUUAAAAUUUAUAUAUCUAGUUCCUGCCAUCCCUUAAAACUGUUGCAGGUGUAUAGGUUAGUCUGUACUCAGAGUAAAAUUUGGGGUGUAAAUACGGCCAUUUUAGCCAAAAGGUUAUGAUGAACCUUAAAGGGGCACUAGCUGUCAAAUUCAUGUUCACCAAUUUGACUCAAAUUCUCAUAUUUUAUUUAUUACAAUGUAAAACAUUUUUCCAAAUUAUCAAAAGUAUAAAAUAAACAAUUUACAGGCCAUGGUCUCAAUAAGAUUUAGCUUCGUUUCGUGUGAAUUUUAGCAAUGACGCCAUCUAAUUUUUCGAGUUGACCUUCUAUGACCACAUAAGCGAUAUAAACAUAGUUAUAAAUAGAUUAAGCAACUCGUGGAGUUAAGAUUUUUAUAGGUCUACUAAAUUUUGUAUUAUAGAUUAAAAAUUUAUGUUUAUGGUCGUUUUUUGCCUAAAUAAGAAUGAUUUUUUGUGGAUCGAAUCAGUCAAUCAAAUUAUUUACCUUUCUUUCACUUUCAAUGUUGACAUUCUUUUCCAUUAAAUAAUCGUACACGGACUAUGCAUGCGUUAUUCUAUCUAUUUGUACGGGGUUAAAUUGGAGUUCACAUGAAUACAGGUUUAAUGAGGUCGAGUUAUUCACUUGAAAGUGAAUAAUUCAUUAUCAAUUUUUAUUAGCUUAAUUUGACAAAAUUGAACCAUUUUAGCUGCUAAAAGUGAAUUAUUAUUUCACUAUUUCACUUUCAUUUCGUUGAACAAAAAAAAAGGCAGUUAUAGGAUGCAUCAUCAUCUGAACAUGUACCAAGUCAGUGGCGGAUACAAAGAGGGGGGUUGUAAUCCCCUUUUUUAGACGAUCGAUGCAUUUGAAUGGGGACCUAUGUGUGGACCCCCUUUAUUCUGGGUUGGACCCCCUUUUAAAUGGCUGGAUCCGUCACUGCAAGUAUAAUUAUAUGACAGUUAUUAUUCAGCAAUUCCGUAAGUUGAUGUAGUCGAUAACGGGCGUUUGGUUUGGCUAGUUUUGAUGAUAUCUACAAUGUUCUGAUUCGUAAGAUAUCACUAUUAGAUGUCGAUGGUGAUAACAUUGAACAGUAUCUACAAUGUUCUGAUUCGUAAGAUAUCACCAUUAGAUGUCCUUGGUGAUAACAUAGAACAGUAUCUACAAUGUUCUGAUUCGUAAAAUAUCACUAUUGGAUGUCCAUGGUGAUAACAUAGAACAGUAUCUACAAUGUAUCUUACAAUGCCCUGAUUCCGUAAGAAUCACUAUUAGAUGUCCUUGGUGAUACACAUAUGAACAGUAUCUAAAUGUUCUGAUUCGUAAGAUAUCACCAUUAGAUUCCUUGGAAUAAUAGAACCGUAUCUACAAUUGCCUGAUUCUAAGAUAUCACUAUUAGAUGUCCAUGGUAUAACAUAGAACAGAUCUAACAAUGUUCUGAUUCGUAAGAUCUUAUAUUGGAUGUCCAUGGUGAUAACAUUGAACAGUAUCUAAAAUGUUCUGAUUCGUAAGAUAUCACUAUUAGAUGUCCUUGGUGAUAACAUUGAACAGUAUCUAAAAUGUUCUGAUUUGUAAGAUAUCACCAUUAGAUUCCUGGUGAUAACAUAGAACAGUAUCUACAAGUGCCCUGAUUCGUAAAUGAUCACUAUUAGAUGUCCCACUGGUGAUAACAUAGAACAGUAUCACAAUUGUUCUGAUUUCGUAAAGAUAUUACUAUUGGAUGUCCCAUGGUGAUAACAGAGAACAGUAUCUACAAUGUAUCUACAAUGCCCUGAUUCGUAAGAUAUCACUAUUAACUGUCUUUGGUGAACACACUGAACAGUAUAUACCAAUGCCCUGAUUCGUAAGAUAUCACAUUAAGAUGUCCUUGGUGAUAACAUAGAACAGUAUCUAAAAUUUCUGAUUCGUAAGAUAAUGCCAUUAAUCCUUGGUGAUACAUAGAACAGUAUCUACAAUGCCCUGAUUCGUAAGAUUCACUAUUAGAUGUCCAUGGUGAUAACAUAGAACAGUAUCUACAAUGUUUUGAUUCGUAAGAUAUUACUAUUGGAUGUCCAGUGUGUGAUAACAUGAACAGUUUCUACCAAUGUUCUGAUUCGUAAAUAUCACUAUUAGAUGUCCUUGGUGAUAACAUUGAACAGUAUUCUAAAAUGUUUAUUUGAAGAUAUCACCAUUAGAUUCCUUGGUGAUAACAUAGAACAGUAUCUACAAUGCCCUGAUUCGAUUAAGAUAUCACUAUUAGAUGUCCAUGGUGAUAACAUAGAAACAGAUCUACAAGUUUCUGAUUUCGUAAGAAUAUUACUAUUGAUGUCCAUGGUACAUAACAUAGAACAGUAUCUACAAUGUAUCUACAAUGCCCUGAUCGUAAGAUAUCACUAUAGUUAUGUCCUUGUGAAAACACUGAAAUGUAUGGGUAACAUGCCUGCCUGUAUUCUCGUAAGAUAUCAACUAUAGAUUGUCCGAAUUUGUGAUAACAUGAACAGUAUCUACACACAUUUCUGAUCACGUAAGAUAUCCACUAUUAGAUGAUCGUGGUAGACAUUGAACGAGUAUCUACAAUGUUCUGAAAUCUCGUAAGAUAUCACCAUUAUUGAUGUCCUCUGUGAAACAUAGAACAGUAUCAUACAGCGAUUAAUUCUAAUUCGCCUAUAACGUAGAUAUCACUAUUUAGAUAUGUCUUGUGAUAAACAUAGAGAACCAGUAUCUAGAACAUGUAUCAUACCAAUGUCCCCUGAUUCGUAAGAUAUCACUAUUAGAAUUGUCCUUGGUGAUAAACACUGAACCAUAUAUACAAGUUUGCUGAUUCGUAGAAUAUCACAAAUUAGAUUCCUCUGGUAUACUAACUAUAGAUAUCAGUAUGCAAACAGAUAUCAAAAUUCUGAUUUCGUACAAGAUAUCACUAUUAGAUGUCAUGGUGAAACACUAGAACAGUAUCUACCCAUGUUCUGAUUUAUGAAGAAUCUUACAUAGAUCUGUCCUUGGUAUAAACAUAGAACAGUAUCUAGCAAUGUUUCUGUAUUCGUAAGAUUCACAUUAGAUGUCCUUGUUGAUAACAUUGAACAUGUAUCUAAAAUUGUCGGAUUGUAAGAUUAUCACCAUUAGAAUUCCUUGGGUGAUAACGAUAGAACCAGUAUCUACAAUGCCUGAUUCUUAAGAUAUCACUAUUAGAUGUCCAUGGUGAUAACAGUAGAACAGUAUCUACAAUGUUUGAUUCGUAGAUAAUUACUUAUUGGAUGUCAUUAGGUAAUACAUAGCAACGUUUCUACAACGUAUCUACAAUGCCCUGAUUCGUAAAUAUCACUAUUGAAUGUCUUUGAUUGAAAACACCUGAACAGUACUAUACAAUGCCCUGAUUCGUAAGAUAUCACUAUUAGAGGCCAUGGUAACUAACAUUAGAACAGUAUCUUAAAAUGUUCUGAUUCGUAAGAUAUCACUAUUAGAUUCCUUGGGUGGUGAAAACACUGCAACAGUAUCUACAAUUUCUGAAUUCGUAGAUAUCACUAUGGAGGUCCAGUGGAUAACACUUACAGUAUCUACAAUGUAUCUACAUGCCCUAAUUACGUAAGAUAUCCCUAUUGAAUGUCUUUGGUGAUAACAUAGAACAGUAUCCUACAAUGUAUUACCAAUGCCCUUAUUCGUACGAUAUCACUAUUGAAUGUCUUGGUGAAACACUGAACAUGAUAUACAAGCCCUGAUUCCGUAAGAUACACUAUUAGAUGUCCAUGGUAAUAACAAGAAACAUAUCUUAAAAUGUUCUGGAUUCGAAGAUAUCACUAUUAGAUGCCAUGGUUGAAAAACACGGAACAGGUACUACAAUGUUCUGAUGUUGAGAUAUCACAAUUAAGAUGUCCUUGAUGAUAAAUAAGACAUGUAUCUAAAAUGUUCUAUUCGAAGAUAUCACUAUUAGGAUGUCUGGGGUGAUAACAUAGAACAGUAAUCUACAAUGUAUCUACAAUGCCCUGAUUCGUAAGAUAUCACGGAUGAAAUGGUUUUGUGAUAACAUAGAACAGUAUCUACAAAUGUAUCUACAAUGCCCUGAUUCGUUAGAUAAUCACUUUGAAUGUCUUGAUGAAAACACUGAAACAGUAUAUACAAUGCCCUGAUUUCGUAGGAUAUCACUAUUAGAUUGUCAUGGUAAUAACAUAGAAAACAGUAUCUAAAAUGUUUCUGAUUCUAAGAGAUCACUAUUGAUGGUCCAUGGGUGAAAACACUGAACAUUAUCUACAGUGUUCUGAUUCGUUAAAGAUAUCACUAUUGGAUGUCCAUGGUGAACAUGAACAGUUAUACAAUGCCCCUGAUUCGUAAGAUAAUCACUAUUAGAUGUCCGAUUGGUGAUAACAUAGAAACAAAUCUACAAUGUUCUGAUUCGUUAAGAUAUUACUAUUGGAUGUCCAUGGUAAAUAACCAUAGAACAGUAUCUACAAUGUAUCUACAAUUACCCUAAUUCGUAAGAUAUCACUAUUGAAAGUCUUUUGGUGAAAACACAUCGACACAGUAUAUAACAAUGCCUGAUUCGUAAGACUUAUCACUAUUAGCAUGUUCCAUGUAAUAACAUAGAAAGUAUCAAAAUGUUCUGAUUCGUAAAGAUGUCACUAUUAGAUGUCCUUUGUAUAAACAUAGUCCAGUAUCUACAAAAUGUUCUGAUGUAAGAUAUCACUAUUGGAUGUCCAUGGUCAUAAACACACAUUGAACAUGUAUCUACAAUGUAUUCUACAAUGCCCUGAUUCGUUAAGAUAUUCACUAUUGAAUGUCUUGGUCGAAUAACAUAGAACAGUAUGCUACAAGUGUAUCUACAAUGCCUGAUUCGUAAGAUAUCACUAUUAGAUGUCCAUGGUAAUAACAUAGAACAGUAUCUAAAAUGUUCUGAUUCGUAAGAUAUCACUAUUAGAUGUCCAUAUUGAUAGCAUUGAACAGUAUCUACAAUGUUCUGAUUCGUAAGAUAUCACUAUUAGAUGUCCAUGGUGAAAACACUGAACAGUAUAGAUCUACAAUGUUCUGAUUCGUAAGAUAUCACUAUUGGAUGUCCAUAUUGAUAGCAUUGAACAGUAUCUACAAUGUUCUGAUUCGUAAGAUAUCACUAUUAGAUGUCCUUGGUGAUAACAUUGAACAGUAUCUACAAUGUUCUGAUUUGUAAGAUAUCACUAUUAGAUGUCCUUGGUGAUAACAUAGAACAGUAUCUACAAUGUUCUGAUUCGUAAGAUAUCACUAUUAGAUGUCCUUGGUGAUAACAUUGAACAGUAUCUAAAAUGUUCUGAUUUGUAAGAUAUUACUAUUAGAUGUCCUUGGUGAUAACAUAGAACAGUAUAUACAAUGCCCUGAUUCGUAAGAUAUCACUAUUAGAUGUCCAUGGUGAUAACAUAGAACAGUAUAUACAAUGCACAAAAUUAGACGUCCCUCUUAAUUCUUUUAGUGUGUUUUGUGUAAUGUUAUUUGUCUUUUUGUCUUUUUGUCUUAUUUUAGCAUUUAUUUGUAUUUUGAAUUUAGACUUAUGAUUUGAACAUCUUUUUAAUAGGUAUUGACUCUAUUUGGAAAUAUUGAUAUUGGUUCAACAAAUUUUUAUAUCAAUCAAGAUUGUUCAAUUUCAUAUUUCUUUUCCAAUUUUAAGAAAUGAUUCAUAAGUGGUUGAAAAUAUUGACCGUAUUGUGCCUUUUAUUACUCAAGUUUUAAUUGUUUUAAUAUAUCUAUUUUAAUUAGUUUGUUGGCAUAAGUUGAAUAUAUAAUUCUAAUGUUGGCAUGGGUAGAAGACACGAUAUCGAUAGAAAUAAUAGAUAUACGAUAACUAUAUCAUGACUUAGAACAAACUGUGCAACAUUAGGCUCAUUAAACUCUUUGUGUUUUUUCCUAUUUAACUAAUAUAUUAAUUUUGUAAUUACAUAAUGUGAACACAGUUGGAUUGAACCGAACUUAUUGUAGAACUUACGAACUGCAGGUAAAUAGUAAUACAAUUUAUAUAAAUCCUUGCUUCCAUUUUAAGUGUACUUUAAUUCUGAUAUAAAAAGAAAAAAAAAACACUUUAUUAAUUUCGUACGACCGAAGCGCCUUCUGGGUUUAUUCUCACCAGAAACUCAAACUCAAAAUAUUUUGAAAGCAGUUGAUGUAUGCAUACGUAGUCUAAACAUUAGAAGCUACUUCAAACUCUGCUCGAGCGAGUUUUAGAUAUCUGUAAUUUGUCAAAAGGAUUUUUAAGAAAGUUUCUAUUUUUUUGCUUUAUAUUCUAAUCUUUUAGAAGAAGAACAUGAUGGUAAAAUACUUUAUUAAUUAUCUAUUUCAGUGCUUCGCAUCUAUGGUAAUUGCAAGGUAUUUCAUGUGCGUCAAAAUAUAUCUAUCACUAACUUCAAAAACCAUAUGUCAUUUGACAAAAGUUUAACAUUUCAUUUGAACCAAAUUUCUUAAGUUAAUUUGCGCAAAUAAUACAGGUAUGAAUUAUAAACAUUGUAUACAAAAUACACUAUUAAUAGUAACUUCAUGACAUCUAUAGGUUGUGUCUGCACAUUUAAUCAUUAACUGUACACCAUAUACAUCAGAUCUCUUUUUCGAAAAAAAAAAACCAUGUCAAUCUUUGAUGGUUUUAAAGGAAAAUAUCGAUUAUCAAUCAAUUGAUGUACGGCGGCGGAUAAUAACUUGAAAACCCUUUGAUAAAACCUUUUCAAAUUUGAGCUCAUGGCAAAAGAAAUAGAAGCAGGAAGCAAACGUCUCUAGAAAAAAAAAUGAGAAACUAAAUAAAAAGUUGGAAACAAAAUAUAUAAAAAUGGAAAAAGUACAAUAACUACGCAUUCACAUCAUUGACCACCGCAAGACACAGACUUUAAAAUAUUCCAUAGAUAAAAAAUAUAUGACCAAAGGUCUUACAACUUUUUUUUCGAUUUGCAUAAGUUGUAUUAUUUUGAAAAUACGAUUUUAUUUAAAUGAUGAUAAUCACGAGGUUGCAUCACCACAACAAGAUUAACAAUCCCCGAAUUCCAAGGUCAAACAUAUUAAACUUGUGUCCGCAUAUUACAUGUAGUGGUAGAUGUACUUAAAAAAAUAAUAUGCGUUUUGAAUAUGAUAUUCCAUUACUCAUGCCAGGGACGCAAUUCUUGUAUUAUUAAUUCGACCUUUAACUUUAAACUGGUAAACAAAUGAUACAAAAGUUCAAAAGUAUUACGCAUUCCCAUGACCACCGCAGGACACAAUUAAGAUAUUCCAUCGAUAAAACAUUUAUGGUCAAAGGUCUACCAGUUGCUUUUGUUUGAUAUGAAUAUAUGAUUUUAACGUUUUAUUUAAAUAAUGAUAAACAAGAAAUAAAUCAUAGACAGCUUAGCCAAAGGUGUUAUUCAAGUUACAUAAAAUCUCUAUAUAAAUAAACAGAAAGAGUUACUACGUAUACUAUAAAAAGAAGUUACUGAGAGGUAAGUUCAAUUCUUAUAAGACAACACUACAUUUGUUAUCCGUUAGAAUGUGCUUCAGCAGAUGUGGGUUGUUUUAUUGUAUUAUUGUUUUAAAGAUAACUGAACCAUAUAUGGAUGACACGAACAAACAGAUUUCAAGUUUUUAAUGAACUUACUGCAGAAGUUUGGAUUGGUAACUUACAAAAAUAUUAUCAACUAUCAGUCAAUUUGACGUGUUCUGCUCUUUGGUCGGGUUGUCUUCGACAUAUUCCUUGUUUUCCAUUCUCUAUAGUAUGGUCUUACAAGAUUUAUCUGUAUGUUUAUAUCGAUAUAGUUUUCCAUUCUCUAUAGUAUGGGCUUACAAGAUUUAUCUGUAUGUUUAUAUCGAUAUAGUUUUCCAUUCUCUAUAGUAUGGUCUUACAAGAUUUAUCUGUAUUUUUAUAUCGAUAUAGUUUUCCAGUCCUUCAGAAGUAUUAUCUCUAUUCAUACUAAUGAAAUCAAACUAACAUUCUGGGUGCUGUGAUGGUUGUGCUCGGGAUCGCCCUGAACGUGUGCAUUUUUUUAUUGCAAUGAACACCUCAGUAUGAAUUUCAGACGAAGAACAGCAAUAUUUUAUUAUUUUUUUAAAUUCUAUUUAUAUUUUUCUUUUCGCCAUCUUAUAUAUAUUUACUGGAUUGCAAACCAAAAUAUAAGUUUAGAAAAAAAAUCUUUAUUUUUUUUUUAGAUUCAAGUAGCACAAACGAAUAAUCUACAAAAAUGAAGGUAUUUGUGUUUGUGUUAUUAGCCAUUUUAUUGGUGACAGUUGAAAGUCGACGACGAGGCGGAAAGGGAAAAGGAAAGGGAAAGGGACCCGGACAUGGAAAGAUACCUAGUCUACCAUUUAUGUGUGAAGGUAAGUUCUUACAAUAUAGUUUUAACGUUCUUGUUCAUUAUUCAUAAUUUAAAUAAAAUUUGGCAAAACAUAUUAAAAUAAAAAAAACUAGGUGUAAGGCGGGGAAAACGGUUAACUGCACCAUAAAUAUGUAAGGAGAGGAAAACAUUUAUAAGAGAAAUAACUCUAAUUUAUAUUAUUUUGUAAAUGUAUACACUACAUGAAUAAUAACUCUAAUUUAUAUUAUUUUGUAAAUGUAUACACUACAUGAGCUCUAACAAUGACCAUCAAUAGUGAGAUAAUAUUGUGUGAGGCAUUAAUUUAUACAUUGAUUACAAUACAUGUAUAUCCCCUAAUUUGAAGUGGCUGACAACAAUCGUUAGGCAUUCCAGUAUCCACUAUUCAACUAUUUUAUUUCUGUAUAGGAUACAACAGCUACAUUGUAUGACCGAUCUGACUAUGUGUUACCAUGACAAUGUUAACAUAAUGCAUUGAAAAAACAUACGAAAGAUUGAUAUAACUUUUUUUUUAUGUUGGAAGAACAAAAAUGUAUCGAAUGCUUCUUUUAUUCGAACUUUAUUUGGUUUUAGAAGCGUUAAUCGUGCGUACAUUUUGAAAAGGAAGCGCUUCCACCUUACAUAUACUGUGCGUCAGUCAAUGCUUUUACAUCAAAAUAAAACAUUCAAUUACAGAUUAAGCGAUAAGAAUAUUCAAACUAGCAACGUUUUUUUUAUUUUUAUCUGUCAAAAUGAUGAGUGACAUAAAAAAUAAGGAAUACUUAGAGUAUGCUCUGUCAAUCGGAAUACAGUAAAACUAAUCACCAACACAAUAAGUUUGAUAUAGCAAAACAUUGACAUGAAUACUCUGUGGAAAAUCAGCAAGAAAUUUUAUUAAAACAUCCGUAUAUGGUAGCAUAAUAAAUAAGGAUAGUAAACAAAAAAAUUGAAGCUAUGGAACUCCUGUUCGAGAUAUUUCAUUGAAAAAAAAAAGACUUUGAGUUUUACUUCUAGUGAGUAUCUCUUGCUUUCAGGAAAUAUGAUACUUUCGUCCUGGUAUCCAAGUAUCGGCUCUAAAGACUGUUGAUACUAUUUAAAUUUUGUAAGAAUUAUAGGUUUUUCAUUGAUAAAAAAACAUAAGUAAAUGACAAGAUGUCUGAAUGAGUAUCUAGGAUAUGUAACCUCGCCUUCAAAAAGUUUUAAGUGUUUCAUUGACAAAAAACGGAUAUUUUUUUUUUGGAUGCGACACAAUGUGAUUGAAAUUAUACCAUGCUAUGGUAUCAGUAUACUUAUAUUACUCAGGACACAAUAUACGGGCAUUUCUAUUCAAAGAUGUAUAAUUGAAACUUGUAUCGAAAUAGCAUUAUGAGGAAAUAAUAAACGGACAUUUCUAUUAAGAGAUGGAGAGUUGAUUUAGCGUUAAAACUUAUUCCUAAAUGACAUUGUAUGUAUAUCUGUUUCAGCACCUGUGACUGUUUGCCAAGGAGCAGAGAUGACUCUCCAGUGUGAUGCUGAUGAAACAAUUAUGGUUGCCGAGGCUACGUAUGGUGAUAUAACUUGUGUUGGCGAUAUCCGUGCAAGCCCGUCUACAUGUACAGAUACAGGUGCCACUGCCAGUGUUCAGAAACUGUGUGAUGGCAAAAUAUCUUGUACAUUCACAGCCAAUGAUGCCACUUUCACAAACUCUGAUUGUGCUGUUGAUAAGGCGGAAAACUUGAUGGUCAGAUAUAAAUGCAAAGGUAUAUUAUUAUUCUUUCUGAUAUUUCACGCUUUUACUUUUAUAUCGUGAAUAUAGAUAGCCGAUAUGUUACCAUGGAGGCAUGGAUAAAAAUAAUGAAUGUACUUUGCAUGAAAAAAUUGCGUAUAAACUGAAAGUAUGCACCAUGAAACAUCGUUCUUCUCUUUGUUUUACAUGUAUGUCAGUCCACAAAACACAUAUAUUGAUGUUUUUAAUGUGUAAUUAUCUUGUUCUGUUUUAAGGACUUCUGGAUUUGAUUCCCUUUCAAUAAAGAUGAUUAAGUACAGAAAGGUUGGUUAUACUUUAGUGAGAUAACAACCAAGACCGAGACACUCCGUCAAACAAAAUACAGGUUUCUAUACAAUAUAUCAAGCUCUUUUUUACCCGCGACGACUCUCAACUGGUUACAAAUAACAUCGCAAUCUAAUUGAAAUAUAGACCUCUGAUUUCGUUAUGCAAGUUACGAUUAAACGAUAUUUUAUAAAGAUUGAUAAAAUCCUAACAGGAAUAUCUACUUUCGACAUGCCUCCCGGGGCAUUUAUAAUCACCAAUGGUGUCUGAUGUGGUCCUUGUUGCAUAGUCUUUACUUAUCGAUGUUUUGUUUUGCAUACUGUUGGUCUUUUGACGCUUUUCGUUUUUUUUUAUUCGCCGUGGAAUUCUUUGGUUUGUCUCGCCUUACUUCUACAAACAAUACAUUAUUUUUUGAAAUUAAGUAAAAUGCCGCUAAGAACAUUAUUUUAAUUGUCAUCAGGAUAUAUAGAACGGAUAGGCGCAAAGCGCAACGUCUGAGCCAUAAUACCAGGGAAGUAGAAGUACGAAAUCAAAUAAGUGAAAAGGCGUUACAAUUAAAAGGAUAUUCUCGUAGAAUACAAACAAAAAACUACUCUCGAGGAAAUAAAAUCAACUUUAUUACACAGAAGUUCGAGGCUAACUUAAAAAGGGGCCAGUGGGUAUACGUUCUCACUCAUAAGUGUAAAAUAAACUGAAAAUGCCUUGGCUAAAUCAAAAGACAAACAAUGGUUCACAGAACGCAACACAAGAAACUAAAGAUUAAGCAACACGAACCCCACCAAAAACUUUUAGGUGAUAUCAGGAGCACUGGAAAUUUAAUCAGAUCCUGCUCCACAUGUGGCACCCGUAGUGUUGUUCAUGUUAUUACAAACUCGGUAAUACGUACGUAAUUGUUAUGAUCUUUAUUACGAAACAAUUUAAAAUGCGGUGACGUUAUUAAUCAAUUAGAAAAUUCUGGAAAGUUCAAAAUCGACAUUUAGGACAUGCCUGAAUGAUCGAUAAAUUACUUAUUAUGGUGGAUUCAAAACACAUAUAAAUGCAUUGAUGAUAGAAGUAUGUUGAAAACUAUGAACCCAACCCAUGAUAGCCCUGACAUCAUGGUAUAGAAAAAACACCACCAGUAUUUCUUGAUAUAAAACCGUGUGUGUUGUAGAUAUCACACAUUACAUGAUAUUUUUUUAUUUCUUAGAUAACAGAGCUUUUGCCCUUCAUGGAGAAACUGCAGAAAUAACUUGUCCAACUGAUACCCAGAUUGAGAUUACGAAACCUGUGUGUAACCCUUCACCAUGUACACCUGAUAUCCAGACUGCCUGUAAUGGGAAAACAGAGUGUUCUGUUGAAGGACCGACGAUGGCGUUUGUUGAUGGGACGUGCAUGGAACAACGAGUUAAAGUCGAAUGGAAGUGUAACCCGGCUAAAUAAACAGAUCUAUAUUUAUCACUGUUCAUACCUUGUGUACCCCUUUUGAGAAACAAACAACCCAAUUGUAAUGGCUUGCCUUAUUAAAAUGUGUUUUUCGUUUUUUUUGAAAUGAACAAAAC